CGCGGGAGCAAUCCUGGCGGCGAGCGGCGAACGGGUGAGUAAUGCUUCGGAAUCUACCCAUGUAGUGGGGAAUAACCAGCCGAAAGGUUGGCUAAUACCGCAUACGACCUACGGGUGAAAGCAGGGGAUCGCAAGACCUUGCGCUAUUGGAUGAGCCGAAGUCGGAUUAGCUAGUUGGUGAGGUAACGGCUCACCAAGGCGACGAUCCGUAGCUGGUCUGAGAGGACGACCAGCCACACUGGGACUGAGACACGGCCCAGACUCCUACGGGAGGCAGCAGUGGGGAAUAUUGGACAAUGGGGGCAACCCUGAUCCAGCGACGCCGCGUGUGUGAAGAAGGCCUGCGGG
rnacentral:rRNA from 1 species